rnacentral:rRNA from 1 species
AAAAACAUUGCUUCUUGCCACAAUAUAAGAAGUAAUUCCUGCCCAGUGACUCAUAGUUCAACGGCCGCGGUAUCCUAACCGUGCAAAGGUAGCAUAAUCACUUGCCCAUUAAUUGUGGGCUAGAAUGAAAGGACCAACGAAAUAAAAACUGUCUCUAUAAGCCCAAUAAAAAUUAAUCUCUAACUGAAGACUGUUAGAUUUCAUUGAAGGACAAGAAGACCCUAUAGAGCUUUAUUUUAAUAAAAACUCAAGUUUUAACAAAAUUCGGUUGGGGCGACCGGGGAAAAUCACUAAUCAUCCCCUUACAAAAGAUUAAUUAAUCUAAAUUAUGACCCUUAACCAAGAUCACCAAAACAAGCUACCUUAGGGAUAACAGGCUAAUCUCACUAAAGAGUCCUUAUCAAUAGUGGGGGUUGGCACCUCGAUGUUGGCUUAGGGAAUCUAUGUGGCGCAAAAGU